rnacentral:rRNA from 1 species
AGGAAGGGUGAGCGUGUGGUGUGCGUAAUAGUGGGGGGUAAAGCGUUAAAGGUGGUUACGUGGCGUAAAGGGGGCGUAGGGCGUUCAAUAAGACUAGGUGUAAAUCCCUGGGCUUAAGCUUGGAACGGCAGUCGAUACUGGUGAACUAGAGUGUGGUAGAGGGUGGCGGAACUACGGGUGUAGCGGUGAAAAGCGUAGAUAUCCGGAAGAACACCGAUGGCGAAGGCAACCACCUGGGCCUGCACUGACGCUGAGGUACGAAAGCGUGGGGAGCAAACAGGAUUAGAUACUCGAGUAGUC